rnacentral:rRNA from 1 species
UACAGAGGGUGCAAGCGUUGUUCGGAAUUACUGGGCGUAAAGCGUGCGCAGGCGGUGAGCUGUGUCCGAUGUGAAAGCCCCGGGCUUAACCCUGGGAACUGCGUUUGAUACGGCAGGGCUAGAGUUCGGGAGAGGAGAGUGGAAUUCCCAGUGUAGAGGUGAAAUUCGUAGAUAUUGGGAAGAACACCGGUGGCGAAGGCGGCUCUCUGGACCGAUACUGACGCUGAGGCGCGAAAGCGUGGGGAGCAAACAGG